GACGAACCGUGCGAACGUUAUUCGGAAUCACUGGGCUUAAAGCGCGUGUAGGCGGGAUGGCACGUCGGUCGCUGAAAGCCCCCGGCUCAACCGGGGAAGGGCGCCGAUACGACCGUCCUGGAGGGAUGUAGGGGGACCUGGAACUUCCGGUGGAGCGGUGAAAUGCGUUGAGAUCGGAAGGAACGCCCGUGGCGAAAGCGAGGUCCUGGACGUUUACUGACGCUGAGACGCGAAAGCCAGGGAGAGCG
rnacentral:rRNA from 1 species